CGGAAAGGCCCUGCUUGCAGGGUACUCGAGUGGCGAACGGGUGAGUAACACGUGGGUGAUCUGCCCUGCACUUCGGGAUAAGCUUGGGAAACUGGGUCUAAUACCGGAUAGGAACCAUCUUUAGUGUGGUGGUUGGAAAGUUUUUUCGGUGUAGGAUGAGCUCGCGGCCUAUCAGCUUGUUGGUGGGGUAAUGGCCUACCAAGGCGGCGACGGGUAGCCGGCCUGAGAGGGUGUACGGCCACAUUGGGACUGAGAUACGGCCCAGACUCCUACGGGAGGCAGCAGUGGGGAAUAUUGCACAAUGGGCGCAAGCCUGAUGCAGCGACGCCGCGUGGGGGAUGAAGGCCUUCGGGUCGUAAACUCCUUUCGCUAGGGACGAAGCUUUUUUGUGACGGUACCUAGAUAAGAAGCACCGGCUAACUACGUGCCAGCAGCCGCGGUAAUACGUAGGGUGCGAGCGUUGUCCGGAAUUACUGGGCGUAAAGGGCUCGUAGGUGGUUUGUCGCGUCGUCUGUGAAAUUCUGGGGCUUAACUCCGGGCGUGCAGGCGAUACGGGCAUAACUUGAGUGCUGUAGGGGUAACUGGAAUUCCUGGUGUAGCGGUGAAAUGCGCAGAUAUCAGGAGGAACACCGAUGGCGAAGGCAGGUUACUGGGCAGUUACUGACGCUGAGGAGCGAAAGCAUGGGUAGCGAACAGGAUUAGAUACCCUGGUAGUCCAUGCCGUAAACGGUGGGCGCUAGGUGUGAGGGUCUUUCUACGACUUUCGUGCCGUAGCUAACGCAUUAAGCGCCCCGCCUGGGGAGUACGCCGCAAGGCUA
rnacentral:rRNA from 1 species